AGAGAGACAUGCGCGCAUAUCAAUAAGCGGAGGAAAAGAAACUAACAAGGAUUCCCCUAGUAACGGCGAGUGAAGCGGGAAGAGCUCAAAUUUGAAAUCUUCAAGGUUCUACCUUUACGAAUUGUAGUUUAAAGAAGUGUUUUCUGUUGAGGUUUUGGUAAAAGUUCUUUGGAAUAGGACAUCAUAGAGGGUGAGAAUCCCGUAUUUGACCUUUACUUUCAACUUUGUGAUACACUUUCAAAGAGUCGGAUUGUUUGGGAAUGCAGUCCAAAAUGGGUGGUAAAUUUCAUCUAAAGCUAAAUAUUGGCGAGAGACCGAUAGCGAACAAGUACCGUGAGGGAAAGAUGAAAAGAACUUUGAAAAGAGAGUUAAACAGUACGUGAAAUUGUCAAAAGGGAAGCGUUUGACACCAGUGUUGUUUUUCUGAAAAUCAAUUAAAGAACUGUUUAUGCUAAGUUGUUUAGACUUUAUCAGCUAACUGUUUAGUUUUGAGCUUUUCUUUAAUGCACUUUUCAGUUAACAAGUCAACAUCAAUUUCUUUUGUUGUAAAAGGGUCAUUGGAAGGUGGCUUUCUUUUCGGAGAAAGUGUUUAUAGCCUUUGGCCUCUGCAAUCGGAGAGACUGAGGUCUGCAGCGUAGAUCCUUCGGGGUUAGAUACAUUUGUGCUAAGUUAUAGCCUUUCAUAGACAACUUGUUGACUAUGAUUAGUCAUUGUAGCUUACUCGCUUAUGCUAUUUUACCUACGCUUAGGAUGUUGA
rnacentral:rRNA from 1 species